GUGUUCUUCCCCGUGCUCUUUUUUUUUUUUUUUUACAUUUAUUUAUUUAUUUGUAGUGGGGAUAUACAAAUGAUGUGGUGAAUGUGUGUGGUCAGAGAUCAGUUUGGAAAAGUCAGAACUCUUUUCGCCCUCUGAGUUCUAGAUAUACAAACAUGACAUUAAGCUUGGGCAAAUACCCUUAGUCAAGGAGCCAUCUCCUCUCUCCCCUGGGCUCUGUGACUGUCUUUGUUACAGUCAUUUGCAGUGUGUUUGAAGAGUGGGUCUAGGAUAAGUGAUUUAAAUUUAUUAAUAAUAAAAAGUAUAUUUAAAAUACAUUUAUGAUGGCUUAAAUUAGUGUAGCACCUUAUAAUUUAAUGUUCUUAUACAGAAGCCAUAUACCCUUGGACCAGAAGAUCUAUUUUCAUCUCUGUUGUUAUUAUUCCCACAGGGCUAACUUAAAACCUAAGGCUUGGAGUACUAGCCAAGGAAGUUCACAUAACUGAUGAGAAUAUUGUUUUCAGAAACUAAAAGUAUGCCAAGUACAGUUCAUGUUCACAUUCCCUUUUCUUGGGGCUAUGGUCUCUUUCUUUUCCUUUUAGAAGUAUGUUUCAACUUUGAUAUUGCUUAUCAGUAAUACUCACUGAAUGUGGUUUGACAAAAAAAAGGGGUUUUUUGGCUAACAUCAAUUUCUCUGGUUUUGAUUGUGUAUACCAGCAGUGCCCUUCAUGUCCUAGCACUAACUGUGAAGACUUCUGGUCUUCUCUUAUAGACCAGUGUCAAUCAACUAAGGAUGUUGACAUGUCCUGCAACACAGUGGUUCUCAACCUGUAGAUUGUGACUCCUUUAGAGAGGUAAACAACCUUUUCACAGGAGUCAUCUAAGAUCAGUAGAAAACAGAUCUUUAUAUUAUCAUUCAUAACAGUAGCAAAAUUAUAAUUUUGAAGUAGCACCAAAAAUAAUUUUAUGGUUGAGGGUCACUAUAACUUGAGGAUCUGUAUUAGAGGGUCACAGAAUCAAGAAGGCUGAGAGCUAUUGCUGUAAACAGAAUUAGAAACAACAAAUUUUAUUUAUUUGCCUCUCAUUUUUUUUCUGGAAAAUAUUGUAUAGUUUCUAUAGAAUACUGAGUUGUAGUGCAAAUAUAAUUGAUUCAAUAAGUUUGAAUUUAUAAAGAAUAAGUUUCACUCUCCUAUUUAUAGCAUCUAAAUAGAGUGAUUGAGUCAAAGUGAAUUUACCUUUUAACACAGGAGAAAAUAAAAUGCUGUAUGAUAUUCAUGUGAUUAAUACCUAGAAGGGAAAAUAUCAUAUGAUCUGCAAUUGAGGGAAAAUAGUUUCACAAGAAUAUUGUAUAGUGAGUGAGGUCCAUCUGGCAGUAUGAUAGCUUUCUUCUGCUCUUCUGUCUUGAUAUGUUGUUUAAGUUAACAGAAAGCCAGUUAGUUUGAAGUUGGUGAAUAACAGGUCCAGAAAUUUCAGAGGUCUCCACUUUAUAGAAUCUGUAUGAAAUUCAUUUAUUAUUCAUAUCCAGAUGCUAAAUGAUAAAUUCUCUUCUGGAAAUGUACUAUGUCCAUUAUCUCUACAGGAAUGAGGAUGAAAAUACCCGUGUGAAUCACAGAAGUUUCAGUGUAAAUAUAUAGUCUGGAACUGUGGCAGACAAGUCAACUUAGGAGCAGGCAAGGUUAGCUCAGUGGAGUCUCUGACAGACAAAUCCACAGGCAGGGAAACAAUAGUUAAGGAUGUGAAAAGAUGUUCACAGGAGGAACAGCCUAAGGAAAGACUUUAUUGAAG
rnacentral:lncRNA from 1 species